GCUUCAGUGUGAGGUUAAGUCUCAUCGCACACCAGAGAACACAUACAGGGGAGAAGCCCCAUGUUUGCAAGGAGUGUGGGCGUGGCUUCAGUGUGAGCUCAAAUCUCAUCAGACACCAGAGAACACACACAGGGGAGAAGCCCCAUGUUUGCAAGGAGUGUGGGCGUGGCUUCAGGGUGAGGUCAAGUCUCAUCAGACACCAGAGAACACACACAGGGGAGAAGCCCCAUGUUUGCAAGGAGUGUGGGUGUGGCUUCAGUGAAAGGUCAUAUCUCAGGGCACACCAGAGAACACAUACAGGGGAGAAGCCCCAUGUUUGCGAGGAGUGUGGGCGUGGCUUCAGCACGAGCUCAGAUCUCAACAUACACCAGAGAACACACACAGGGGAGAAGCCCCAUGUUUGCAAGGAGUGUGGGUGUGGCUUCAGUGAAAGGUCAAGUCUCAUCAGACACCAGAGAACACACACAGGGGAGAAGCCCUUUGUUUGCAAGGAGUGUGGGCGUGGCUUCAUUGUGAGGUCAAGUCUCAUCAGACACCAGAGAACACACACAGGAGAGAAGCCCCAUGUUUGCGAGGAGUAUGGGCGUGGCUUCAGUGUGAGGUCAAGUCUUAUCACACACCAGAGAACACACACAGGGGAGAAACCCCAUGUUUGCAAGGAGUCUGGGUGUGGCUUCAGGGUG